GGGGGCGUAUCUGGGUCUCGACAGGAUCAUGUUUGAUUUGAACUGCAGUGGGGUGGCUUCCUAAGAGCCGACAAAAAAAUAACUAACAACUCUAAGUUAGCAUUUGCUGCAUAGUUUCACGGUAAAGUGACGCAGCUGGUUCAUCUGUCCGGUCUCGGGACGGAAUGAAUUAUCACAAACAGAGAAUAAGCGCCGGCGCAUUCUUCGGUGUACCGGCGACGAAAACCUUACGAAGGCCCGUCCGCUUACCUCCGUUUGUCAAGGGACGGACGGUACAUUGACAAACUAAACUGUAGACGUUCAAAUGUGGAACUUUUCUUGGACAGGGGUUCGAUUCCCCUCGCCUCCACCA
rnacentral:tmRNA from 1 species